GGAAGUGUGGUGUAGUGGUCAGCGUGUUAGGCUAGGACCUGGGAGACCGGGGUUCGAAUCCCCACUCGGCCA